rnacentral:rRNA from 1 species
GAACGCUGGCGGCAUGCCUAACACAUGCAAGUCGAACGGCAGCACAGCAGUAGCAAGUACUGUGGGUGGCGAGUGGCGGACGGGUGAGGAAUACGUCGGAAUCUGCCCAGUCUGGGGGAUAACUAGCCGAAAGGUUAGCUAAUACCGCAUACGACCGAGAGGUGAAAGCGGGGACCGCAAGGCCUCGCGCGAUUGGAUGAGCCGACGUCGGAUUAGCUAGUUGGCGGGUAAAGGCCCACCAAGGCGACGAUCCGUAGCUGGUCUGAGAGGAUGAUCAGCCACACUGGAACUGAGACACGGUCCAGACUCCUACGGAGGCAGCAGUGGGGAAUAUUGGACAAUGGGCGCAAGCCUGAUCCAGCAAUGCCGCGUGUGUGAAGAAGGCCUUCGGGUUGUAAAGCACUUUUAUCAGGAACGAAAAGCGUUGGAUUAAUACUCUGACGUGCUGACGGUACCUGAGGAAUAAGCACCGGCUAACUUCGUG